UCCUCCCUCCUUUCCUCCCUCCCUUCCUCCCUCGCUCCAGUAUUAUGUAGCUUUUUUCCUUCUCUCUCCCUUCUGUCUUCUAUUUCUGUGUUUGAAUGGAGAAGCUGGGUUCCCCAGGACCUGCACAGCCCUUGCAGGGUGAAGGGCCCGUUGCUGGGGUUUCUGUUGCCAAGACUGCAGGGGUUGUGGGAGAUGAGGAGGCGACACUGGCCAGCUCAAAACUGUUCCGGUGUGCGUGUGUGAGACGCUGGCUACCACUGGCCUACAGAGAAGAACUUUACCAAGUCUUGCUGCUCACAGGCCCACUGCUGCUGUCUCGGAUUCUGCACUUUCUCCUGCAGUUUGAAUAAUAUGAUAAGAACCAAGUUGCAGCGACCGGCCUUCUUCCUGCAACAAUAACAGAGAACCAAGUGGCAGCGACCGACGUUCUUCCUGCAACAAUAACAGAGAACCAAGUGGCAGCGACCGACGUUCUUCCUGCAACAAUAACAGAGAACCAAGUGGCAGCGACCGACGUUCUUCCUGCAACAAUAACAGAGAACCAAGUGGCAGCGACCGACGUUCUUCCUGCAACAAUAACAGAGAACCAAGUGGCAGCGACCGACGUUCUUCCUGCAACAAUAACAGAGAACCAAGUGGCAGCGACCGACGUUCUUCCUGCAACAAUAACAGAGCAUCAAGUGGCAGCGACCGACGUUCUUCCUGCAACAAUAACAGAGAACCAAGUGGCAGCGACCGACGUUCUUCCUGCAACAAUAACAGAGAACCAAGUGGCAGCGACCGACGUUCUUCCUGCAACAAUAACAGAGAACCAAGUGGCAG